GCCUGGGGCAGGAGACUUCCCUGGAGAAAUCCUGGGUCUGGGAGAAGUGCUUGUGAGAUCACUUACCUUUUAUAGCCCUUAUAAAAUGCUUUGAACGAAGGUGGCAGUAUGGUAUUGAAUGGUAUUGGACGGCAAUGGCCAUGUGACCCACUGGGUGAGAGACCAUGCUAUGCUCCCGCCCAUGAAGGAGCAGUCUGUCUUCACAAGGGAUGAGGAAUUUUGACCAAAUGCCAUUAUACAGAUGGUACAAAAGAGGCACAUACAAACCCAGGUCAUUGUCAUCAACCUAAGAAGAAACCAGGAGAUGUGGGAAGGACUUCAUAGGUGGCAUCCCUUGUCCUACCUGCCAAGGAGUCCCAGCCAGACCACCUGGGUACUCACAUAUGGAUGCCUGAAUGCAUCAGUUUGGGUACAUACCCCUCCUGGUGCUUGUCACCAUCAGCAUAUUGGCACAAGAGUGUCAUGGAGAUUGGGAGAAGUCACUAAUGACUGGAGAAAGACAGCUGCUGCACCCAUCUUCAGAAAUGGCAAGAAGGAAAAUCUGGGAAACUACAGGCCAGUAAGCCUCAUUUCAGUCUCUGGGAAAAUCCUUGAGCAAGUCUCAUUGGCUUCUGCAGAGAUGAAGAAGGUAGUGAUUGGGAACCAAGGGUAAGGCCACAGGUUAUGUCUCUGGAAGAUCCCCAGUGUCCUUGUGGCUGAACAUCCUUGUGGGCAGAGGUCACAGGGCAUGGGAAGAGAAAGAUGUCCAAACCACAGGUCAACCACCCCGUCUAGCUCUGAGCAGCCCCAGUAAAGCGCUCCUGUUUCACCCAGAACAAGAAACGGUUCAAACCUUGGGACCUGCGGCACCUUUGCCAACAAAAUACUCCUGGCAGGUUGGCUGGAAGAAGUGCCAUGGGGACUGCAGUGUCCGUUGGCACUGCCCACUGCAGCACCGUCCCCCCUAUACCUUCACCAUAGCCUGACCCAGGGACAUCAGCAGCUUUUAGACUGCACCCUGCAACCCCCCUCCUGCAGGUAGGAUGUGAUGUCGGAAACCAGGCUAAACAUAAGGCAGGUCUCCUCUGGACGUAGUGGCUCAGACCAUCAUUUUCAGAGUGCUCAUCGAACAAGAACCGGCAAUUUGAGGAGCUGUUCACACAGGCGACUGAAACAGAGACAAUGGAGACUGGAGAGCUGAUUCCAUUUACGGAUGGAAAGGGACAUGAUUUCACUGAUUUUUAAAGCCAGUAUUUCUAAACUAUGACACUCAGUGGUUGGGGUGGGUGCUUUUUGGAUCUAAAAUUAUGCUUAAUCAAACUGGUUUUGAAGAGAGUACAUACUCCAUAAUAUCAAUAACCCACUGAUACUCAUCUCAUUAUGUACACUUGCUCAAUUACCCCAUCUCCAUGAACCAUCAGCAAUCUGCAUUCCCUUCAUUAAUCCCAGGGCUGAUAAGGGUGGUGAUAGUGUCUAACAGCUACACCUUUUUCUGGUGGAUGGAGAUGGGUCAGUGGGAAGAAAAAAGGAAUACUUACUUCAAAAACCAAAACACAAGAUACUUGGGAUUAGAGGAAAGAUUUGACACAUGAAACAGUUUGUGAGUUUCCUGAAUUUCUUUACUAACACUAGAUUUUUAAAGUAGUAUUAGUAGAAGCACAUCAGACAUAAAUAUAUAAUGUAUUGAUAAGAAAUACAAUGUGGAACACACACAAAAAAUAAUAUAGAA